rnacentral:rRNA from 1 species
UGAGUACGAGCUGCUACGGCAGCGAAGUGGGUGAUGUCAAGCUUCCAAGAAAAGCCCUAUACCCGUUAAGGCAUGACGGCCUGUACCCGAAACCGACACAGGUGGGGUGGUAGAGAAUACCGAGGGGCGCGAGGUAACUCUCUCUAAGGAACUCGGCAAAAUGGCCCCGUAACUUCGGGAGAAGGGGUGCCACCGCAAGGUGGUCGCAGUGAAGAGGCCCAGGCGACUGUUUACCAAAAACACAGGUCUCCGCUAAGUCGCGAGACGAUGUAUGGGGGCUGACGCCUGCCCAGUGCCGGAAGGUUAAGGAAGCUGGUCAGCGCAAGCGAAGCUGGCGACUGAAGCCCCGGUGAACGGCGGCCGUAACUAUAACGGUCCUAAGGUAGCGAAAAUCCUUGUCGGGUAAGUUCCGACCCGCACGAAAGGCGUAACGAUCUGGGCGCUGUCUCGGAGAGAGGCUCGGCGAAAUAGAAUUGUCUGUGAAGAUGCGGACUACGUGCACCCGGACAGAAAGACCCUAUGAAGCUUUACUGUAGCUUGGUAUUGUGCCCGGGCUCUGAAUGCGCAGGAUAGGUGGGAGGCUUUGAUCCAUUGCUUGUGGGUGAUGGUGAGCCAACGGUGAGAUACCACUCUUUCAGGGCUAGGGUUCUAACGGUCACCCGUCAUCCGGGGACCGGACAGUAUCAGGUGGGCAGUUUGACUGGGGCGGUCGCCUCCUAAAAGGUAACGGAGGCGCGCAAAGGUUCCCUCAGGCUGGUUGGAAAUCAGCCGACGAGUGUAAAGGCAGAAGGGAGCUUGACUGUGAGACCUACAAGUCGAACAGGGACGAAAGUCGGCCUUAGUGAUCCGACGGUUCUGAGUGGAAGGGCCGUCGCUCAACGGAUAAAAGUUACUCUAAGGAUAACAGGCUGAUCUCCCCCAAGAGUUCACAUCGACGGGGAGGUUUGGCACCUCGAUGUCGGCUCAUCGCAACCUGGGGCUGAAGUCGGUCCCAAGGGUUGGGCUGUUCGCCCAUUAAAGCGGUACGCGAGCUGGGUUCAGAACGUCGUGAGACAGUUCGGUCCAUAUCCGGUGCAUGCGCAGGAAUAUUGAGAGGAUUUCUCCCUAGUACGAGAGGACCGGGAGGAACGCACCUCUGGUGUGCCAGUUAUCGUGCCAACGGUAAACGCUGGGUAGCCAUGUGCGGAGAGGAUAACCGCUGAAAGCAUCUAAGUGGGAAGCCCACCUCAAGAUGAGUAUUCCCAUGGCGUUAGCCAGUAAGGUCACGGGCAGAACACCCGUUGAUAGGCUCUACGUGGAAGCCGGGUAACCGGUGAAGCGGAGGAGUACUAAUAGACC